UACGUAGGGUGCAAGCGUUAAUCGGAAUUACUGGGCGUAAAGCGUGCGCAGGCGGUUUUGUAAGUCUGUCGUGAAAUCCCCGGGCUCAACCUGGGAACUGCGUUUGAAACUACAAGGCUAGAGUGUGACAGAGGGGGGUGGAAUUCCACGUGUAGCAGUGAAAUGCGUAGAGAUGUGGAGGAACACCGAUGGCGAAGGCAGCCCCCUGGGUUAACACUGACGCUCAGGCACGAAAGCGUGGGGAGCAAACAGG
rnacentral:rRNA from 1 species